AACGCGAAGAACCUUACCAGACCUUGACAUGGUAUGUUUGAAUUACAGAAUCGUAAUUCUUCAGUUCGGCUGGCAUACACACAGGUGCUGCAUGGCUGUCGUCAGCUCGUGUCGUGAGAUGUUGGGUUAAGUCCCGCAACGAGCGCAACCCUCACUUUUAGUUGCCAUCAUUAAGUUGGGCACUCUGAAAGAACUGCCAGUGAUAAGCUGGAGGAAGGUGGGGAUGACGUCAAGUCCUCAUGGCCCUUACGGGUUGGGCUACACACGUGCUACAAUGGCAGUGACAAUGGGUUAAUCCCAAAAAGCUGUCUCAGUUCGGAUUGGGGUCUGCAACUCGACCCCAUGAAGUCGGAAUCGCUAGUAAUCGCGUAACAGCAUGCCGCGGUGAAUACGUUCCCGGGUCUUGUACACACCGAAU
rnacentral:rRNA from 1 species